rnacentral:rRNA from 1 species
GUUUGAUCCUGGCUCAGAUUGAACGCUGGCGGAAUGCUUUACACAUGCAAGUCGAACGGCAGCACGGGGCAACCUGGUGGCGAGUGGCGAACGGGUGAGUAAUAUAUCGGAACGUGCCCAAUCGUGGGGGAUAACGUAGCGAAAGUUACGCUAAUACCGCAUACGAUCUACGGAUGAAAGCGGGGGAUCGCAAGACCUCGCGCGAAUGGAGCGGCCGAUAUCAGAUUAGGUAGUUGGUGGGGUAAAGGCUCACCAAGCCAACGAUCUGUAGCUGGUCUGAGAGGACGACCAGCCACACUGGAACUGAGACACGGUCCAGACUCCUACGGGAGGCAGCAGUGGGGAAUUUUGGACAAUGGGCGCAAGCCUGAUCCAGCCAUUCCGCGUGCAGGAUGAAGGCCUUCGGGUUGUAAACUGCUUUUGUACGGAACGAAACGGUCUGCCCUAAUACGGCGGGCUAAUGACGGUACCGUAAGAAUAAGCACCGGCUAACUACGUGCCAGCAGCCGCGGUAAUACGUAGGGUGCAAGCGUUAAUCGGAAUUACUGGGCGUAAAGCGUGCGCAGGCGGUUAUAUAAGACAGAUGUGAAAUCCCCGGGCUCAACCUGAGAACUGCAUUUGUGACUGUAUAGCUAGAGUACGGCAGAGGGGGAUGGAAUUCCGCGUGUAGCAGUGAAAUGCGUAGAUAUGCGGAGGAACACCGAUGGCGAAGGCAAUCCCCUGGGCCUGUACUGACGCUCAUGCACGAAAGCGUGGGGAGCAAACAGGAUUAGAUACCCUGGUAGUCCACGCCCUAAACGAUGUCAACUGGUUGUUGGGUCUUCACUGACUCAGUAACGAAGCUAACGCGUGAAGUUGACCGCCUGGGGAGUACGGCCGCAAGGUUGAAACUCAAAGGAAUUGACG